GAUGUCAGCGGCAGUGGAAACGAUGGACAUGCACAACGAUGUCCAGUACAAUGGAAAUGGAGAAAGAAAUGGUGUUAUUCGAGCUUUACUGACAGAUCUCUACCAGAUCACAAUGGCUUACGCAUACUGGAGAAGCGGGAAAAUGAACAGCGUUGCCACAUUCGAUCUGUAUUUCCGAAAGAAUCCAUUCUCGGGAGAAUUCACCAUAUUUGCUGGUUUGGAAGAAUGCAUGAAAUUUCUUGAGAAUUUCCACUUCACAUCUUGUGACAUAGAGUAUUUGAAAUCAGUUUUACCGAGUUCUACAGAACCAGAAUUCUUCGAUUAUUUGGCAAAUCUGACGACUAACGAUGUGACCGUGCACGCUAUAGAGGAAGGUACGAUUGUGUUUCCCAAAGUACCGCUGCUCAUUGUGGAGGGACCUCUGGCCAUUGUUCAGCUGAUGGAGACACCUUUACUCAACCUCGUUAAUUAUGCCAGUUUGGUUGCAACAAACGCUAUGAGGUUUCGUUUAGCAGCUGGUCCGAACAAGCAGUUGUUAGAGUUUGGAUUAAGAAGAGCUCAGGGCCCUGAUGGAGGGCUGUCUGCUUCUCGGUACUGUUAUCUUGGUGGUUUUGAUGGAACCAGCAACGUUCUCGCAGGCAAGAUGUUUGGGAUUCCCGUUCGAGGGACACAUGCUCACGCUUUUGUCACGUCUUUCGCCACUCUUUCAGAUAUCAAGGACCGGACUUUGAAACAGAAGGAUGGUUCUAGGGUGGUGGACUUCAUCGAUGUGUGUUCAAAGUGGUGCAGCAAGUUGGCCCCAGUCUUAGGAUUUCUCACGGACCAGGUGAAUGAAGGUGAACUGGCGGCGUUCGUCACAUACGCGCAGGCGUUCCCCAACGGCCUUGUCGCCCUCAUUGACACCUACGACGUCAUCAGAACGGGACUGCCCAACUUUUGUAUCGUCGCCAUGGCGCUACACGAACUUGGUUACCGAGCGAUAGGAAUUCGGUUGGACAGCGGAGACUUGUCGUAUCUGUCGACGACGGUCAGGCAGACGUUUAAGCUGGUUGCCGACACAUUUAAUGUGCCGUUCUUUGAGAAACUGAUGAUAGUUGCCAGUAAUGAUAUUAAUGAAGAAACGAUUCACUCUCUCAACCAACAGGGUCAUGAGAUUGACUCGUUUGGAAUAGGAACUCACCUGGUAACCUGUCAGAAACAGCCAGCGCUGGGAUGUGUGUUCAAGCUAGUUGAUAUUGAUGGAAAGCCGAGAAUAAAGCUCAGCGAAGAUGUUGAGAAGGUAACUCUGCCUGGGAAGAAGAUUGCAUAUCGGCUUUACGGAAACAAAGUGUCGAGUUUACAAGUUGGCAGUUGGGUAAUGCGUUAGUUGAUUUAAUAAAGAAACCUGAGGAACAACCUCCGCAUGUUAACGAACGAACACUUUGUCGGCAUCCAUUUCAGGAAUCCAAGAGAGCGUAUGUGAUGCCGGCUAAAGUUGAGAAACUGCACAAA
rnacentral:misc_RNA from 1 species